rnacentral:lncRNA from 1 species
GGUGCCAGUUCAAUCAGCAUGAUCCUAAUCCGAUUAAGUGACUUGAUGAAGUCAGUGAGAGGAUUGUGAUCUACUGAUUGAUAUUUUUUUUAAAAUUAAUUAAAUUUUUUAAAUUAUUAGAUCCAUAAAAUGAGAUAGUUAUGGAGAUAACUGGAUCAUAGCCUCCCAUUAAGGUGAAUGGUAAUGGGUCCAUUAUUUUUGAUUG